AUACCGUCUCGUGACGUCAUGUAGACGCUGGGCUGCGAUUGGAGGUUGCCCCGAGCGUCAGCCAAUCGGAUCACUUACUGUGUGAAAUUCGAACGGUACACGCUCGCUCGUUCACUCGAGAGCAUUUCAUUGUCGUCAUUGCGGCCCCGGUUAGUUGUUGGAAAGGCCAGACGUGUACCAUGUAUACGUUUUUAAACAUAACCGUGGAACAAGGGGAAUAACGUAAUCGAAAUGUGAUUCUAACGAUUCUUUUUAUAUAUAUGUUAAUCCCAACUGUAAAUCCGGAAGCAAUUUCUCGUGAAAAGUAAGAUAACCUAUUGGAUACAAAUUUUUAAAUUUUUUACUUUAUUCUUAUAUUUUUCAUACUACUGUGAAAAUAUGCUAUCGUAAUAUAAAUUACAGUGAAAAAUGCUUUACAAUUUUUUAAAUCCCUGGAUUAGUAAUAAUUUUAGAUUAAAUAUGAAAAUAUGUUGUCCUUAGAAAGAAUUUUUUUUUCUAAAUACUUGUUCUAUCAAAUGAUACUAACUAUUAACGAAAGAUAUAUAAGUUCCAAUUAUAUUUUAUAAAUAAUUAAUUUGUUAAACGGUUCAUAUUCCAAAAAAACUUUUUGUUACUAUGAAAUUACAAAUUAAUAGUAGAAAUAAAAUAAAUGUGAUAUAAUCUAUUUGCAAGAAAACGAAACUGUAUAUAAAGAAUGGGGAAUUAUCGAGUUAACUCGUAUGUUCUUGUCAACAGGUUGAUGAACACAUAUAAUAGACAUCUAUAUUGUUGUUCAUUCCAAGAAUUGUUCUAAAAAAAGCUCGUAUGUGAUAUUUUUAUUGUUACGGAGAAAUAUUGACCAUAUCUUGUAUGUCUUGAUUUUAUCUUUUGAUCCUUCUGACGAAUAUGUUCCUCAUUAAGGAAAGGCAAACAAUUCUUUAGCAAUCCGCACGAAUGGUUCGCUUCUACAUUUUAGGCCAUUAAUGUGGUCUGUUUUGCUAAUUUUGAAAUUUAACCUGACACUACUUAAGUAGACGCGUGUCUAGACAGAGCAGGGGUAGUUUGAUGGGUGUAUUCGCGUGCUCUAUUUAAUUAGUAUCUAUUCUUGUCUUCUGGGCGUGUACAUAGAUUGUUACUUGCGAUUACAUUACAAAACUAACCGAAUCGAUAAUAAGUGUAUUUACAUUUACCUAAUCCGGUUCAUGGUCGUUGUGACCACCUUAUUCGUCGCCAUAUUAAAAAAUAGCUUUAAAAGUCAGAAAACAGGUGCAUAUCAUAAGAUUACCUCUUUAAAAUAGAAUUAAGAUACAUAUCUUGAUAGAAUACUGUAUGUAUUAUAUAUAAUAAUUAUAUUAUAAUAAUAAAUAGACUACGAAUUUUUAUUCAAACUCAUAUUUCCGUGAACAAAAUCAAAGAAGUGGAAGUCAAAUAGAGAUUUGCUUCAUCAUCCGAAUAUCCAAAUAGUAAUUAGACCGUGAAUUUUUAUGCAUUCAUGUGGAAUUUCAAGAUGCAAAAAUGUAUGGAAUGAACGUAUCAGUGAAAGUGAAACAAAUCUCUGCUUACGUUUCAUUCCUUUAGUUGCGUUCAUAAAAAUGUGGAUUUGUACAAAUAUUCGCAGACUAAUUAUUACAAAUGCUUCACUUUGAAUAAUUCCUAUAUCUGUACAUUUUUGCAUGUUUAAAUAUCCCAUAAAUGCAUAAACAUCCGCAGUCUAGUAAUAAAUAUAUGUUUGUAAAAUAAAUGUUACUACAUACAUUACGUGUAUAUGUACGUUAUUCUAUACCAAUGUAAUUAAAAGUUAAGUGUAUAGUUUGUACAGUUUUAUGAAAUCGAUAUUCAAUUAGUCAUCUAUAUAAACGGAUAUGUAACAAUUA